rnacentral:misc_RNA from 1 species
UUAAUUUAUUUGUUUUUAGUGACUCAGAAUACUGCUAAGAGCAAGAGUUUGUGAGGGGCCUCUGGCGGGCACCUCCCCGCGAUGGGGAGGCUGCGGCCCCGCCCUGGGGCUGCCCGCCGAAGCAACAUCUAGGUAAGUUCACAAAGGGUUGGCGAGCUGUUUAAGACUCUUUUGUAAUGAUCCCUCCGCUGGUUCACCAACGGAGA